AUACCUGCCUCCAUUCUGGCCAGUUGUGAAGUACCCUGCACAUUGUGGUUUUGUGAUUGUUUAAGGAACAUGCUUCCAAUGCCCACAGUCUCUUUUCACCAUCUUUUCAGACUGAUUUCGGACCUUCCUUUUCGACUACACUGUAUAUGUGCCUUCCGUCUGGAUUAAAAGAG